rnacentral:rRNA from 1 species
AACAAUCUGUCCUUACAUUCCGGAUAAUUGGCCGAAAGGCCUUGUAAUACGGGGGAGGGUCAUGACAGGGCAUCCUGUUAUGAAGGAAGGCGCAAGCCGUGCAAGGAGGAGUUCGCGGACUAUCAGGUAGUUGGUGGGGUAAUGGCCUACCAAGCCUACGACGGGUAGCUGGUCUGAGAGGAUGGUCAGCCACAUUGGAACUGAGACACUGUCCAGACUCCUACGGGAGGCUGCAGUCGAGAAUCUUGGGCAAUGCACGAAAGUGUGACCCAGCGACGCCGCGUGGAGGAUGAAGGCCCUUGGGUUGUAAACUCCUUUUAUGGGUGAAGAACACAAUGACAUUAGCCCAUGAAUAAGCCACGGCUAACUACGUGCCAGCAGCCGCGGUAAUACGUAGGUGGCAAGCGUUGUCCGGAUUUACUGGGCGUAAAGCGUGCGCAGGCGGACUUUUAAGUAGGAAGUGAAAGGUUGGAGCUCAACUCCAACACUGCUCCCUAUACUGGAAGUCUUGAGUAGCGGAGAGGAAAGCGGAACGACACGU